rnacentral:tRNA from 1 species
GCCACCGUGGUCUAACGGUUAGAACGCUGGGCUUGUAAUCCUGGGGUCUCGGGUUCGAUUCCCGGCGGUGCCC